UUUUUUUUGGCCCCUUUUGGGGCCCCGGGGCCGCGGCGGGGCAGGAGGCGGUGAGGCAGGGAGGGCGACAGUGGCCGGUUAGCUCAGUUGGUGUUCAUUCCUAUUCAAGGAUAAACUUCACUGGAUGUUCAUGACAGUGCACCGGCUCCAGCAGCCCUGCAGACAGUGACCUGCGACUGACCUCAGCUGUGCCAUGGAUGGAGUUUGGUGUGCAGCACCUCUGCGUGGUGGCUGUGGUGGGGCAGGUACUUCUCUUGCCUCCCUUAUCUGGCACAACCUCCUCUUUUGACCUGGCUCACGAGGCAAAGGGGACUGUAACACUUUAUAAUCACACCAGCACUGGGAGGACUGCCAUGGGAAAGGUCCACCUGAUUUCAGAUAUAAUGCUAAAACCCCGUAAACAGGCACAGGAGGGGAAUAGGGCAAGAACAAAUGAAAGAACACUUCCUAACAGACUGUGUGGCCAAAGAAGUUUUGGAAAUAAAAACCAACAGUCCUGUAUUACAAAUCAUGUUUAUUGGUUAAUACACACAACACAAGCAGAUUUAACAAACAUAUUUUAUAUACAUUGUCAAGUAUUAAAAUCCAUCUAGUUCCAAGGCCUUUUAGGUACUGUUG